ACUGCUGUAGAUAAGCUUCUCUACAACUAAGUAAAACUACGUCGUUUUGGUCUAAAAAUUAAGAAAAAAAUACUUUGUUUCCUAAGAUUCUAUCUUCUUCAACGGCAGAAUAGCGAUGAACGUUUUCCCUCUUCUCCUCCUUUGCUACUUGUGUUCUUUCUUUCCGUCUUGAGAGCGUUCUUCUCCUUCAUCGCCGGCAGCCCUUCCCCUCCACCACCGGCGGUUAUGGGACUCUAGAGGAGCUUCUUGAAGUCAUAACUUGGGCUCAACUUGGGAUUCAUGAUAAACCGGUAUAUGACUUGUACCAUUUUGCUGGGAUCCUUGAGAAGUUUAGUUGAGCUAUUAGCCUUGCUAGAUUUGACAUUCCACAACUUGCAGGUUGCUACCCGGAUGAACAUUACAUUCCAACCUUCCUGAAUAUGUUCCACGGUUCGCUUAAUUCAAACAGAACAGUGACAUGGGUUGAUUGGUCAAUGCUGGGUCCUCAUCCAGCAACCUAUGGGGGAGACAACAUAACAGUGGGUUUUAUACAAGCUAUAAGGAAAAAUGGAUCCCUUUGUCGAUAUAAUUCAGACAUGACAUCCGUUUGUUACCUCUUUGCUCGCAAGUUUGGUCAUAGUGCAUUGGAGCCUUUACUUAACCUUUCUUCCGAAGUGAUGAACUUUUGAAUUUUUUUCCUUUUUUUAUUGUAUAAGAGACAAGAUAUGUAACUUGUUUUUUGGGCUCUAGAUUUUAGUAGAGAAUUUAACAACUUCAGCACUAAAUCAGUAUGUAUUGGUAUAGCUGUACAGGUAUUGUUAGAAUUUUGUAUUCUCUACUAGAGAAUAGCAUAAUGUUGCAGAAACUGCAUUUCAUUCUUUCGAAGAAGGAAUCCAUCAAU